rnacentral:rRNA from 1 species
AGUCGANCGGCAGCACGGAGAGCUUGCUCUCUGGUGGCGAGUGGCGAACGGGUGAGUAAUGUAUCGGAACGUGCCCAGUCGUGGGGGAUAACGUAGUGAAAAUUACGCUAAUACCGCAUACGAUCUAUGGAUGAAAGCGGGGGAUCGCAAGACCUCGCGCGAUUGGAGCGGCCGAUAUCAGAUUAGGUAGUUGGUAGGGUAAAGGCCUACCAAGCCAACGAUCUGUAGCUGGUCUGAGAGGACGACCAGCCACACUGGAACUGAGACACGGUCCAGACUCCUACGGGAGGCAGCAGUGGGGAAUUUUGGACAAUGGGCGAAAGCCUGAUCCAGCCAUUCCGCGUGCAGGAUGAAGGCCCUCGGGUUGUAAACUGCUUUUGUACAGAACGAAAAGGUUUCUAUUAAUACUAGGAGCUCAUGACGGUACUGUAAGAAUAAGCACCGGCUAACUACGUGCCAGCAGCCGCGGUAAUACGUAGGGUGCAAGCGUUAAUCGGAAUUACUGGGCGUAAAGCGUGCGCAGGCGGUUAUAUAAGUCAGAUGUGAAAUCCCCGGGCUCAACCUGGGAACUGCAUUUGAGACUGUAUAGCUAGAGUACGGUAGAGGGGGAUGGAAUUCCGCGUGUAGCAGUGAAAUGCGUAGAUAUGCGGAGGAACACCGAUGGCGAAGGCAAUCCCCUGGACCUGUACUGACGCUCAUGCACGAAAGCGUGGGGAGCAAACAGGAUUAGAUACCCUGGUAGUCCACGCCCUAAACGAUGUCAACUGGUUGUUGGGUCUUAACUGACUCAGUAACGAAGCUAACGCGUGAAGUUGACCGCCUGGGGAGUACGGCCGCANGGUUGAAACUCAAAGGAANUGACGGGGANCCGCACAAGCGGUGGAUGAUGNNGNUUAAUUCGAUGCAACGCGAAAANNUUACC